AGUGAACGCUGGCGGUAGGCCUAACACAUGCGAGUCGAACGGCAGCACAGUAAGAGCUUGCUCUUGCGGGUGGCGAGUGGCGGACGGGUGAGGAAUACAUCGGAAUCUACUUUUUCGUGGGGGAUAACGUAGGGAAACUUACGCUAAUACCGCAUACGACCUACGGGUGAAAGCAGGGGAUCUUCGGACCUUGCGCGAUUGAAUGAGCCGAUGUCGGAUUAGCUAGUUGGCGGGGUAAAGGCCCACCAAGGCGACGAUCCGUAGCUGGUCUGAGAGGAUGAUCAGCCACACUGGAACUGAGACACGGUCCAGACUCCUACGGGAGGCAGCAGUGGGGAAUAUUGGACAAUGGGCGCAAGCCUGAUCCAGCCAUACCGCGUGGGUGAAGAAGGCCUUCGGGUUGUAAAGCCCUUUUGUUGGGAAAGAAAAGCAGCAGGUUAAUACCCCGCUGUUCUGACGGUACCCAAAGAAUAAGCACCGGCUAACUUCGUG
rnacentral:rRNA from 1 species